UCGCGCGGCUCGCUUGGCACGUGAUCAUUUGCACGAUGCAAGGAGACGUGCUGCGGCCGAGAUGCUGUAUGAGAGAUUCGCUGCAAUUGGUCAAAGUGAUAUUGGUGAGCAGCUUAGGGCUGCACUAACGGACGGUUACAGCGGGGACGAAGAAGCAGCAGGUCCAUCAAAUGAGUACCAGGAGGAGGAAGAAGUGGCAGUGACUCAAGUGCGAGAGAGUUCCGAAGACGCAGAAGGCGCGGCAUUAGAGCGACUAGCGCGC